CAGGUGGCCAGGUGAGGACGGGACGGCGUGGCCUACGCCUUAGACAAGCAGAGAAAAACUCACAAGGACUGAGUUGUCAUCUGUUUCUUCAGAUUUCGAUCUCUUCAUCCAGUCCAGUUAAAUUUCAAUUAAAACAAAAACAUGUAUGUUGUAGAGCCUAGAUUGAUGGAAAAGAAAUGGUCUCCAUGACUUCAGAAACACAGUUUAAAACUAGUUAGACAGGACAAAGGGACGUGGCACACUCCUGCUGCCAUCACAUUGUGUGUGACAGUGAAAGUGGAAAUGAGGCUCCUGUUUGUGCUGAAUGUGACCUCUGAGGACAGAACAGUUGGAGACAGCAGAUGGUUCAUAGAUUCUUUGUGCUGCACUUUGAUUAGUCAGACUUUAUUCACUGCAUGUGUUUGUUGAUUUGGAUCUCCAUUCAUCCUGGCUGCCAUGGUAACUCCAUUUAAACUUGAUUAGAAGUGGAUUAUUACAUUUCAGUGCUGUCAAACAUCAUUCAGUGCUGAAUAUGAACUGUAAGUUUGAUUGACUCUCAGUAAGUAGGGGUGUAACGGUACACAAGCAUUUCAGUUCUGUACAGUUCUCAGUUUUGAAGCUUUGGUACAUUUUCACUACAGUAAAGUUUUUUUUCUUUAUUAGGAACAUUUAUAAUUUCCCUUUUACACAUUGGACUAAGUGCAGCAUCGACAGUUCAGACUUGUACACCUGCUCAGGUUACUUUUUAAUAACAUUUUAAAUUAAACAUAAAAUAAACUUAUGCUGCUUCCUUCAACCAAAAGAGUCUCCAAUAAAUAAAAGAUAUGAAUGAAAUAAAGUAUUUUAGAAUGAAAUGAAGUCAUUAAUAUAGCCUAUAUGUAAAAGUAUUUCUUUUAAAUUACACUGACACCUUUUAGUUUACUAAGCCAACAGUUUUUUGAAUGCCCUUUGAGCACAUAAUAAACCUAAUCACAUCUGGGACAGUGUAGUUUCAGAACUAUUAAUAUUUCCCUCUGUCGAUAUAAGAACUUCAAUGGCAUUUUUUAUGACUUUGGCCCGUUUAGAAUUACUAGCAAAAGGCUGUCUGUUUGUUCCUAGUUACAGUGAUGUUUACGUUUGCGUGGUGCCUUUUCAAGUGCUUUAAUAAGUUGGACGUGUUGCCUGUGACGUACCCGAUGUCCGCUGAACAACGACGGCACACUACUCUCGUCUUGUCAACGUCUCUUUCGCCUCAGAAAUGUUUUUUCCAUUGCAAUUCCACAAUUCAUACUCAUUCAAUAAAAAUAAAAGUAGGCAUAUACUGCGGUGUAUUCAUGGUCUUACCUUUACUUCCUCCUUACCUUCUUUUAGUUUUCCAUUAUUUAUCACUUCACGUUUUGAUUGAAAGUCCAGUUUUGAGAAAUCUUUAAGCUUAGAUAUAAAAUCUUCCUUUUCCAUUUUUGCAAUCAGA